AACUCUAUGCGGUGAAUCGUGCGGCUCGUGUGUCGAUGAAGAGAGCAGCCAACUAUGUUAAUUGAUGUGAAUCGCAGACUGCUUUGAUAAUCGACCUCUUGAACGCACAUUGCGGCCGUUGGCUUGCUUCCGGCCAGGUCCGGCUGAGGUUUG
rnacentral:rRNA from 1 species